GACGAACGCUGGCGGCGUGCCUAAUACAUGCAAGUAGAACGCACAGUUUAUACCGUAGCUUGCUACACCAUAGACUGUGAGCUGCGAACGGGUGAGUAACGCGUAGGUAACCUGCCUGGUAGCGGGGGAUAACUAUUGGAAACGAUAGCUAAUACCGCAUAAUAUUGAUUAUUGCAUGAUAAUUGAUUGAAAGAUGCUAUUGCAUCACUACCAGAUGGACCUGCGUUGUAUUAGCUAGUAGGUGAGGUAACGGCUCACCUAGGCGACGAUACAUAGCCGACCUGAGAGGGUGAUCGGCCACACUGGGACUGAGACACGGCCCAGACUCCUACGGGAGGCAGCAGUAGGGAAUCUUCGGCAAUGGACGAAAGUCUGACCGAGCAACGCCGCGUGAGUGAAGAAGGGUUUCGGAUCGUAAAGCUCUGUUGUAAGAGAAGAACGGGUGUGAGAGUGGAAAGUUCACACUGUGACGGUAUCUUACCAGAAAGGGACGGCUAACUACGUG
rnacentral:rRNA from 1 species